UGCCGCCGCUGGCGAAUGGGGUCACCGCCCCCUUGGGGGUGGCCUUGGAGCGCUGGCCGCCGGUGUUCGAAUACACCUCGGUGUCGA
rnacentral:tRNA from 1 species